GGUUGGUCCAAAGGUAGUGAGUUAUCUCAAUUGAUUGUUCACAGUCAGUACAGAUUGAACUCCUUGUUCUACUCUUUCCCCCCUUCUCACUAUUGCACUUAACUAGUCUUUA
ensembl:misc_RNA Y_RNA Y RNA